rnacentral:tRNA from 2 species
GUGGCUGUAGCUCAGUUGGUUCAGAGCGCUUCCCUGUGGAGGAAGAGGUCGGGAGUUCAAUUCUCCUCAGCCACC